GUUAUACGAAGGCUCAAAUUGAUAUUCUCCGGCGUAAAGCGUGAUUAGAGAAAAAAACGAACUAAAGCCGAACACCCCCUAAGCUGUCAUACGCUACGGAGGCACGAAGCCCCACAACGAAAGUGGCCUUAAAGACCUUGAAUUCACGACUAUUAAGAAACAAACUGGGAUUAGAUACCCCACUAUGCCUAAUUGUAAACAACGAUGGCAAUAUACAAACACCAUCCGCCAGGGAACUACGAGCAUUAGCUUAAAACCCAAAGGACUUGGCGGUGCCUCAAACCCACCUAGAGGAGCCUGUUCUAUAACCGAUACCCCCCGUUCAACCUCACCACUUCUUGUUAACCCAGCCUAUAUACCGCCGUCGCCAGCUUACCUCGUGAGAGAUUAAAAGUAAGCUAAAGGGGCCUUGCCCAAAACAUCAGGUCGAGGUGUAGCAAAUGAAGUGGGAAGAAAUGGGCUACAUUUUCUGAUUCAGAAUAAUACGAAAAGUGCCAUGAAAAAACACAACUGAAGGUGGAUUUAGCAGUAAAAAGAAAACAGAGAGUUCUUUUGAAGCCGGCUCUGAGGCGCGUACACACCGCCCGUCACCCUCCUA
rnacentral:rRNA from 1 species